CCUACGGGAGGCAGCAGUGAGGAAUAUUGGUCAAUGGGCGCGAGCCUGAACCAGCCAAGUAGCGUGAAGGAUGACUGCCCUACGGGUUGUAAACUUCUUUUAUCAAGGAAUAAAGUGAGGCCCGUGUGCCUUUUUGUAUGGACUUUAUGAAUAAGGAUCGGCUAACUCCGUGCCAGCAGCCGCGGUAAUAGGGAGGAUCCGAGCGUUAUCCGGAUUUAUUGGGUUUAAGGGGAGCGUAGAUGGGUUGUUAAGUCAGUUGUGAAAGUUUGCGGCUCAACCGUAAAAUUGCAAUUGAUACUGGCAGCCUUGAGUACAGUUGAGGUAGGCGGAAUUCGUGGUGUAGCGGUGAAAUGCUUAGAUAUCACGAAGAACUCCGAUUGCGAAGGCAGCUUACUAAACUGCCACUGACAUUGAUGCUCGAAAGUGUGGGUAUCAAACAGGAUUAGAUACCCGAGUAGUC
rnacentral:rRNA from 1 species